rnacentral:rRNA from 1 species
GUGUAAGUACUAGCCAAAACUAAAAUGGUGAAACCGCGAAAAGCUCAUUAAAUCGGCUUUGGUUCCUUAGAUAGUAAGCAGAAAUGAUUUUUCAAAAAUUAAAUGUAAAAAUUUAAUUUUGAAAAAAAAAUUCUGACAUUGGAUAACUGUGGUAAUUCUAGAGCUAAUACAUGAAAAUUAAAUCAGUGUGAAAUUUUUUGUAAAAGAAAAUAUUUUGCACGCUUUUAUUAGAGGAAAAAGCCAAUUUAAAAAUAAUUUUUUUUCUUAAAAAAAAUUAUUUAAUAUUUAUAAAAUAAAUUUGAAAUUGUAAAAAUUUUAAAUUUUUUAAGUGUUGAAUCUGAAUAACUUAAACAAAUUUCUAUAAAAAAAAUUAUGUUAUUUUUUAAUGUUUUUUAUAAGUAUCAUUUAUGAUAUUUUUUGAAAUGUUAAAAUUUAUAUAGUUUUUUUAUUAUUAUAGAAAUUUAAAGCUGACCGCAACAAUAUGCUUUUUAAAAAAAUUUUUAUAAUGAAAAUUUUUUCAAAUAGUAUUGCGGCGUAUCUUUCAAUUGUCUGCCUUAUCAACUUUCGAUGGUAGGUUACAUGCCUACCAUGGUUAUAACGGGUAACGGAGAAUCAGGGUUCGAUUCCGGAGAGGGAGCCUGAGAAACGGCUACCACAUCUAAGGAAGGCAGCAGGCACGCAAAUUACCCACUCCCGGCUCGGGGAGGUAGUGACGAUAAAUAACGAUACGGAACUCUUAUGAGUUUCCGUGAUCGGAAUGAGUGUAAUUUAAAUCCUUAUACGAGGAGCAAAUGGAGGGCAAGUCUGGUGCCAGCAGCCGCGGUAAUUCCAGCUCCAUUAGCAUAUAUUAAAGUUGUUGCGUUUAAANNNNNNNNNNNNGAAUCUGUAUCUCGGCGUGUCAGUCGUUUAGUAAUUUAAAUAUUAUUAAAUUUGAUAUGACAAAUUUCGCAUGAGAUAUAAAUAUUGGUGGAUUUUUUAAGUAAUUAUAUUUUAUAAAAGAAAUUUUUUUUUUUUUUUAUAUUAAUAUAAUUAUUAAAUUCGAUACAAAAUAAAUUUUUUUUAUUAAUAUAAAUUAUUUAUAGAAAAAGUGAAUUUUUUUUAAAUCGAAAAUUAUUUAUAAUUUUUGUCUAUUAAAAAAUUUAUUUUAUUUUUAGAUAUUUAAUAAAUUUUUACUCAAAUCAAUAAUAAUAUUAUAAUGGUAAUUAAAAUUAAUUUUUUUUUUACCUAAUUAUUAUUGAAAAAAUUUAAUUUAAGUAAUUUAAAAAAAAGUUAAUCAAUUAUUUAUUUAUUUGAUUAAUAAUUUUUUUGUUUUAAAUAAUUUAUUUAAUUAUCGUAAAAAUAUUUUGUAUUCUAAUUAAAAUUUGUAUUAUUAUAUAAAUUUUAUUAUUUUAGACCCAUAAAAUUACUUUGAACAAAUUAGAGUGCUUAAAGCAGGCAAAAUUAAAUGCCUUGAAUAUAAACAGCCUGGAAUAAUAGAAUAUGAUCUCGAUACUGUUUUUUUUUAAUUUUUUUUAAAAUAAUUUUAAAAAAAAUAUUUAAUGUUAGAAAAAAUUUUAUUAUUUUUUCGAAUGUAUAAAAUUUUUUUCAUACAUUUUAAAUUGGCUUAAAGAAUAAAUAAUUUUUGAAAAAAUUUUAUUUUAGAAAAUAAAUUAAAUUUUUUUAAUUAAAAAUUUAAUUAUUUUCAUGAUAUAAAUAACAUAAAAAANUUAUUUCGACA